rnacentral:rRNA from 1 species
GUCGAACGAUGAAGCCCUUCGGGGUGGAUUAGUGGCGAACGGGUGAGUAACACGUGGGCAAUCUGCCCUUCACUCUGGGACAAGCCCUGGAAACGGGGUCUAAUACCGGAUAACACUCCUCAGGGCAUCUUGGGGGGUUAAAAGCUCCGGCGGUGAAGGAUGAGCCCGCGGCCUAUCAGCUUGUUGGUGGGGUGAUGGCCUACCAAGGCGACGACGGGUAGCCGGCCUGAGAGGGCGACCGGCCACACUGGGACUGAGACACGGCCCAGACUCCUACGGGAGGCAGCAGUGGGGAAUAUUGCACAAUGGGCGAAAGCCUGAUGCAGCGACGCCGCGUGAGGGAUGACGGCCUUCGGGUUGUAAACCUCUUUCAGCAGGGAAGAAGCGAAAGUGACGGUACCUGCAGAAGAAGCGCCGGCUAACUACGUGCCAGCAGCCGCGGUAAUACGUAGGGCGCAAGCGUUGUCCGGAAUUAUUGGGCGUAAAGAGCUCGUAGGCGGCUUGUCACGUCGGAUGUGAAAGCCCGGGGCUUAACCCCGGGUCUGCAUU